CCGUUGUUGCCACUUCGACCUUUCUCCGUCAUGGGUCAGCCGUGGCCGACCCUCCUACCAGCACGCCAGCGGAAGGCGAAAAAAUGGCGGAGGCAAGCAAUAUGGGAGAAGGAGCCUCCCCGCCCGACAGCAGACUCGAGUUUCUACUGGAUCCGGUUGACAGAUAAUUGCUCUGUCCUACUCCUCUGUUCUUUCGCCCUGCAGCCGCGCGAGCGGAUUAUGGCGACAACGGGCCUUUGAUUUCUAAAUCAUGCUGUAGGUUUCCGCUGAGAGAGGCGAUUGCAUAAGUGUGACAGCCAGAUCUGUUGGUGUCAAGGGGCGUCGUGCCGUCAGCCACGGCUGGUGCCGAAUUCUCCUGCACGGUUGUGGUUGGACACCUCGGCGGCGCUGCUGAGUGCGGUGGCAAGAAGAAAGAGUCGCCAACCCAGUCCAUGAAAUCGACCGGGAAGGUGAACCCAGAGGCGCCGGGGUGGACCAGAAGGUUGAGAGUUGGCCGUGCACCUCCGCAUAGGGCACCCUGCCCUGGUAGAGUCACUCUACUGGAAGAAGCAAUCCGGAGGUAUGCUGAUAAACCAUCGGACAAUGUUGUGAAACCAAAGAUUGGGAUGAGUUUUGACUCCCUGGGGAAGCCUACGAAUUUCUCUAACCUGUAUUCCUGGAGCUUGGAUUUGGUAUGAGAUAUGGCAAGAGACGCCUGAACGUCGAGAGCGGACAAAGUGUCUGGAUACUCGGGAAAGCCUGAGCAGCAGAAUAGCUGGUCUUGCUGGUGCGAGUGCCCUCCAAUGAUCAGACUUCUUUAGAGCUGCUCACAAUUGAUGGUUCAUCACUGAGCACCGGUGAAGCCACAACUAUUCAUGUCCCUUACUUGCGGUGAAAAAGGCACAAAAGAUUUGGUGAAGCGGCUUAGGGGAAAUAAUGUGAAGCUCAACAAGGUGUACAACAUAGUUGGCAGCUUCUUCGGUUCAUCUCAGAGACUCAGAAUGUGCCUUUCACAAAGCGGUCUUCUCCGGAAUCUGUGUGGCCGGAUAAGUCGAGACCAGGCUGAUCACGCUGAUGUGAACAAGACCCUUGCUGUGUUUAAAGAGAUACAGCGCAACGACCCAGAGUUCACCUACUGAGUAUAAGGGGAUGAGGAAAGCAGAAUCAAGAACCUUAUGUGGACAAAUGGAAACAACAAGCUGCAGCACAAAUUCUUUGGGAUGUCAUCACAUUCGACACAAUGUAUCGGACUAAUCUGUAUGACACGUCCUUUGGGUUGUUCGUUGGUGUGAACAAUCACUUCCAGAGCGUAAUCCUAGCUAGCGUCUUGAUGUGUUAUGAGCAAGUCGAGAGCUUCCAGUGGGUGUUCUCUGAACUUCUGAAGUGUGAAUUGCCUAUGUAGUGUCAGUUUUCAGAAAACAACCUUGUUUAUGUGAUGGUUCAGUGGUUGAAUGAUAUUAUUCUUGAUUAACUUGUUUUAUAGAAGCAAACAAUGCUGCAGUCACAAGUCUUAGAAAAAUCAGCAAGGCAGUACUGGUGGUUUGUGAGAACUGAACCUUUGAAUCCAGUGAGAACCAGGAUGCUGGUAUCUUGAGUCCAGUGAGAAGCCAAGUCUUCCAAGCAAAACAGCAGACCAAGUUUUCCAAGCAAACUAGCAGGAAGCAAGAAACCAGGCAGUAGUUUGUAAUCCUGUUGAGUUUACUGAAAUGGGCAUCAUGUUUACUGAAGGCGCAUCAUGUUUCAGAAUUUUGAGUGUUCUCUCGCUGUACACUGAAUCUUGUGUCUUGUGUCUUUCUGUACACUUUCUGAAUGAGCAAGAAACCAAGCAAAACGUUGAGUUUACUAAAUCUUUGUCUUUUUGUACACUGGCUAGUAAUCAUCGACUAUACAUA